UAGGACAGGUUCUAGCUGGCCAGCUACAUCGUUGGCCUAGCAUGUAAAUGCCCAUGUCUUCUGCCUAUUGCAGCUUUUUUUACUUUGCACUGUACUAAUGACCCAUGCUGGGAACGGGUUAACAUCAAGGGGUUAACUGUGUGCCUAACAAGUGCAGCUUUACUAACAUUGGUGUAGUUUUUCUCUCUAAAAUCAGAGUUGAUUUCAGGGAGAAGAAACGGAUUGCUUUGUCAACACAGAAUUCUGUGCUGUGAUUGGCCAGUUGAUCAGCAGGUUUCAGCCAGAAUUGCUGGCUAAAAUCUGACAAAUUUUUGCUGUGUCCAAUGGCAGCAGGGGGUGCCCCCAAACCAGGAGGUACACUGCAAUGUAUGGGUACAUCGUGGUGCCUGACUGCUGCCUGCUCGCAGUAGAUCUACUGUAAAGGGGGUCGGCAAAAGGUUAAAGUAAACAUUUUGUGUUAAACACAACUGCCAUAGUGGACUCCUCCGAAUGCUGGUGGCUUUUGUUUACCUGCAUCCAUGAAUAUUUACUUUUUCUUGUUCACUUACCUUUUUGCUGCUCCUAGGAUAGGCUACACAGGCGAAACUUUCUGACAAGCCUAGCUAGUGCCACGUUGUCCUCUCUACCCUCUGUUCUUCUGCAGUGCCACCAUCUUGAAUCUCCUGUUAUUGGGAACCAGUUUGUUUGCACAGCCAGCUCCUUGAUGAUGCUUCCUUGAUCCCAUGCAUGCACAGAUGUUCUGAAUCUUUAUGGGUCUGGACACUUUGCAUCAUCCACAGCCCCCCGUGACUGGCAUGACUGGCAACUUUACAAAAUAUGUAAAUCUCAUAAACCUGCAUAAAAGAGAAAAUGGGAAACAUAUCAAAUGUUUAAACUAUGAAAAUUUAUGGUAAUUGAUAUUGAAGACGGCGGCACAUCUUAUAGCUGGGACAGGGCAAAAAAAGCUGGCAAAGUGCUACUAACAAGGAGGAGCUAAACAUUUUUGUACUUUGGCUUAAAGGAUAAGUCCAGCCUAACACUAAAGUCUUAAAUCUAUAGGCAUCCAUGAUCUAACACCAACCUAUCUAGCCCUGUAAAGAAGAAAUCGGUAUACAUACUUUUGUUUCUAUUUAUUUUUUAAGCUGCUCUGCUCUCCAGCGGCAGAAGCUCUACAGAGGCCACAGAGGACAACGGCUGUGAAAUGAAUGGGACAUGACAUCACCCAUAGACUUACUAUGGGGCUUCAGUGGUGGCUGCCUCCAGAGAAGCCACUGCCGACAGCUCAAUGUUGGAUUGGCUUCAGAAAAGGAUUCGGGACUCUGCAUGACUUGAAAGACACUUUGACCUCUGGAAAAAUCAGGAAACUGCUGCAUGGAUUACUUUUCUGUCUUUAAAGUGAAAUUGCCCUUUAACUCAAAGAUUCCUCUUGAAAAGGACUGGAAAGUAAGAAGACAGAAUCAUGUAAAAAGUGUUCAAUGGGUUGCAACCCUUUUGUCCUGUGGAAUGAUGUAUAAAGAAGAAACGUAAGCAGUGACUAGAAGAUGAUGAUCCUCUGAUUUAAUUGCUGGAGAAAACAUCUACGUAUUUACCUACCCUAGAUGUGAUGGAGUUUAAUACACUAAUUAUUGGACACCA